rnacentral:misc_RNA from 1 species
ACUAUUGCUAAUCAAUUUAUAGCAUGAUAGUUUGAUGUUUAAAUCUAGUUUUUAGAGAAUAAUUACAUAAGCAAAAAAAUAUAUU